rnacentral:rRNA from 1 species
GCUUGUCUCAAAGAUUAAGCCAUGCAUGUCUAAGUAUAAGCACCCUUAUACUGCGAAACUGCGUACAGCUCAUUAUAUCAGCAAUUAUUUAUUUGAAGGUCACCUAUUACAUGGAUAACCGUGGUAAUUCUAGAGCUAAUACAUGCGCAAAUUCCCGACUGCCGCAAGGCGGAAAGGAUGUAUUUAUUAGAUCCAACCAGCCCGGUUCGCCGGAGUCCCUGGUGAGUCAUAAUAACUGAGCGAAUCGCAUGGCCUUGCGCCGGCGAUGGUUCAUUCAAGUUUCUGCCCUAUCAGCUUUCGAUGGUAGGGUAUUGGCCUACCAUGGCGUUAACGGGUAACGGAGAAUUAGGGUUCGAUUCCGGAGAGGGAGCCUGAGAAACGGCUACCACAUCCAAGGAAGGCAGCAGG